rnacentral:tRNA from 1 species
AAUAUAAAAAUUAUAUUUGACUUCCAAUCAAAAAAUCUAGUAACCUAGUAUAAAUAAUUAAAAUUA